UUCAAUCCCUAUGUACUGGAAAUCCGUAGUCAAGAAGACUCUCGACAAUGCCUGCACAGGCAAACUCUGUCGUUUGAACAGGCAAGUCUCUCAUAUGAAUGAUCUUAAUUUGUAAAUCUUCAGGUUUUGAUCUUAACUCUGUGAAGCCUCAUGAGUUUGUACUCAUUAUGAAUUGUGGUUGCAGGAGGUAAUAGUGCAGUAGGUUGGGUUUUGGGACUUCUCGGUACAGGCAAUGACCUUUCAAGAACUUUCGGUUGGGGUGGUUCAAUCCUUAUUUAUUGGAAUUUCGUAGUCAAGAAGACUCUCGACAAUGCCUGCACAGGCAAACUCUGUCGUUUGAACAG